AGGAGGAACAACCCCAGUGGCUAUGGCAGCUCUGGAGCCCUGGAGCCCUGGAUUCAGUCCCCGCAGGAACUCCGGAGCUCUCUGUCUGCAGGGCCUGGAGGCUCCGGGGCGGG
rnacentral:pre_miRNA from 1 species